rnacentral:rRNA from 1 species
GAUGAACGCUGGCGGCGUGCCUAAUACAUGCAAGUCGAGCGAACGGACGAGAAGCUUGCUUCCUUGAUGUUAGCGGCGGACGGGCGAGUAACACGUGGAUAACUUACUUAUAAGACUGGGAUAACUUCGGGAAACCGGAGCUAAUACCGGCUAAUAUUUUGAACCGCAUGGUUCAAAAGAGCAAGACGGCCUUGCUGUCACUUAUAGAUGGAUCCGCGCUGCAUUAGCUAGUUGGUAAGGUAACGGCUUACCAAGGCGACGAUGCAUAGCCGACCUGAGAGGGUGAUCGGCCACACUGGAACUGAGACACGGUCCAGACUCCUACGGGAGGCAGCAGUAGGGAAUCUUGCGCAAUGGGCGAAAGCCUGACGGAGCAACGCCGCGUGGGUGAUGAAGGUCUUCGGAUCGUAAAACUCUGUUAUUAGGGAAGAACAUAUGUGUAAUUAACUGUGCACGUCUUGACGGUACCUAAUCAGAAAGCCACGGCUAACUACGUG